rnacentral:lncRNA from 1 species
AAGGAGUCAAUUUAAAUUAUUUUCAAAGGUGAUCAAAAACAUAAAUUCUCCUAUUUUGUUAUCUAGCCAUAAGUUCUUGCAUAAAAUGUUUUAAAUUAAUGAAUUAUGAUUGAAUUGAUGUUAAUUGGAUGAUUUUAUACUAAAAAGUCCAUAAAACCAUGCAAUCCUAGUUUUGACCAUUUUAUGGGUGGUGUGAUCAUGUCUCUAUUCUAUUGAAUUCUUGUGUAGUUUGAUUAGGGCUAUUGAAUUAUGAAAGAAUUAUGUUAGAAUUGUAUGUAGGUUGUCCUAAAUUGAUGAAUUCAUAUUGUAUUAUCUUGGAUGAUUGGAUAUAAUAAAAAUUGGGUUGAAUUGGUGAGUAUGACUAUCGGUAAGAGCCUUUAUGGAUUGAAUUGGGUGAAUUGGUUAUGGAUUGAAGUUGUGAGACUGGAUUGGUGGUAUGUUGACCUAACCUUCUCUAUAUUGUGUAGUAUAGGUCUUGAAUUAGAAUGAUGAUUGGUAUGGUCCACUUAUGGUGGAGGUGCUUAUGUGCUAUACUUGUGAAUAAUGUGGCCUCGUCGGUAUUACUUUACGAAUUAUGAUAUUGUCAUGAUAUAACAUGGAUAUGUGAUCAUUGUGAAGGUCUAUAUGACUUAUGUUUGCAUGUGAAGUCAAAUUAUGUGAUCAUGAUAGACUGUAGUGAUGCCUUUAUAUGUGUAUACUUGAUAUUAAGUAUGAAUCUUCAUAAUUGACUAUGUGAAUAUUAUGAUGAGUUAUAUUGAUGAUUCUAUAGAAGUGUGUACGGUUACUUGUAGUAUGCUUAAGUUGUCCCUAUAUGCUACUUGACUGAUAUUGUACAUGUGAUAAAAUGAUAAUGAAGUGUGUUUUUUUUAGGUUGACCUAUGUCCCUUACUUGAUAUAUUAACAAUGUGAAUAUGAAUCCUUGACUUAGUAGGCUAAAACACCUUUGUCAUGAAUGUAUGUGUAUGAAUGAAGUAUGAUCUUGAAUAUAGUAAAGAAAGUCAUUUAUGUGGAACCUUUUAGAAAGAAGGUUAUGAUAUCCUUAAAGUUGAAAGUUGUAAUGGUUUCCUUCAUGUGUGAAUGGUGGACUUACAGUUGGUUGGCUGGAAAGGCAUGAAAUCAUCCUUAGGAAUGUCAUUGAGCUAUCUUAAUAACCAUUAUAGGCAGCCCUAGUGGGCCCUCCUUGGUAAGGUGUAGUAUGAUUUGGAUAUGAACAAAAUAUGGUACCACUUCAUGUGCUCCUUUAUUGAAUUACUCUAUGAAAACAAAGUCUAGCACCGAGUGAGUUUGUUUGGGGAGUGGCUUAAGUUGUAGGAUGAGACUAGAGUAAAAAAACCCUUGAUAUUCCUUAACUGUGUGCCUACAUGAUAUGUGUCCUAGUUCUACCAUUGGCAAGUAAAAUACCAUCCAUAGAAAUAGGGUAGACUCCAUAUUCCAUGCCUAGCUAGUAUGGUCUAUGUCUAUUAUUGUCUAUUCUCAUCAUGUGAGAUAUAUGAUAGUGUUGGAUAAGUUCUAUGAAGUUUAGGUAGUGGAAUGAGAUGCUAUCUAGACAUUGCAUGAGUAGGCUUUGAAGAUGUUGGUAUUUAGGUUCCCUAGGUCUUCUCCAAGACCAUUAUGUGAAAGUCCUUAAUUGGUGAAUGUAUCUUAAAUAGAUUAAUGAACUUAAUGACUUAAGUUAAGUGAAUGUAAAUGAAAAUGUACUUAUAUAGAUUAUCUUUAAGGAUUGCUUAGGUAGACUUGGAGAGGGUGUAUGGGUGUUCUCUUCAUGUCUUAUUUAGGUGAGUCUUGGAGUAAUACUAGGUAGGGAGUUGAAUGUAUGAAAUGGGAAUAAUCUUAUUUUAGGUAGUCUAAAGGAUCACUUUGGUGUGUGGGAAGGGGUUGUAUGAGCGGUCGCUUCACAACUCACUCAAGUGAGCUUUAGAAUCACCUUUGGUAAGAGGGUCUCAUGUUUCUGUAUUUUCAAGUGAUCUUGAUGCUAUAUUGUGUAAAGUGAAUAUAUGUGCUUAUGUUGACUUGUAAGUGACUCUUACACUUGUCUUAUGAAGUUUCACUCAAAAAAGCAUGUUUUAUAUAAAUGUCCUUUUAUCAUGGUUUUAAUUGCAUGUCACCAUACUUAGUACAUUAUAUUGUACUAAUUUCAUAUAUUUUGUAUAUCUCUAAAUGUGUAGGUGACACUUGAGAGGAUUCUUGAAGUGGAUGCUUGGAUUAGUGGUCAUUCAAGCAAGAUUUGGUAUGUCCUCAAGCUUCAAGGACAUCAUGAUGUUUAGAUUUCCUUAUUGAAAGUAUUGUAAUAGACUUAGCUACUUACUAGAUGUUGAAGUAUGGGUCAUGUCCCAAUAUAUUCGUAUGUCUAAGAUGCCGAUUUUGAGACUUAGUCUUUCAUUAUAUUUUUUUCUAUAAAGAGAUAUUAUGAAC